rnacentral:rRNA from 1 species
GACGAACGCUGGCGGCGUGCUUAACACAUGCAAGUCGAACGGGAAGGCCCUGCUUUUGUGGGGUGCUCGAGGGGCGAACGGGUGAGUAACACGUGGGUAACGUGUCCUUGACUGUGGGAUAACUUCAGGAAACUUGGGCUCAUACCGGAUAGGAGCUCCUGCUGCAUGGUGGGGGUGGGAAAGUUUCGGCGGUUGGGGAUGGAAUCGCGGCCUAUCAGCUUGUUGGUGGGGUAGUGUGUUAGCAAGGCUUUGACGGGUAGCCGGCCUGAGAGGGUGACCGGCCACAUUGGGACUGAGCUGCGGCCCAGACUCCUACGCGACGCAGCGGUGCGGAAUAGUGCACUAUGGGCGGAACCCUGAUGCAGCCCCGCCGCGUGCGGGAUGACGGCCUUCGCGUUGUAUUCCAAUUUCGCCUGUGACGAGGCGUGAGUGACGGUAAUGGGUAAAGAAGCACCGGCUAACUACGUG